UGGUAACACUGACAACAAGACAUUAUGCAAUUGGCAGCAAAUGACGAUCUGUCAUGACUCAGGAGGACGGCUUUCUUCAAAGCGAAGCACUUCAUCAGCAACAAAUUUCGAAUAAACUGCAACAAGCGGGCUUAUCAUCGCUUGCUGAUCGAAAAUGAGAUGUCCGUAAAUAGCACUGAAUUGCCGCUAAAAAUCGAGUGCUCCGUGAAAAACAUCAUGGCGUCCACCGGACGAUGCAACGGGCCGAUAUUAACUCGGAUAUUAAAGCGAUUCGUGCCAGCUUGCUUCAUCGCAACGUAGGAACCGUGAAAUUCACCACACUAAACUAGAACCAGGCAGUGGCAAACAAAUCGUAAGUUUGAAGGAUAUAUCGGAAGUAGCAGCCGUAUUCCUGAUACUAGGCAGCUGCCGUCCAAAUUUUAAACAAGGCAGAACAUAGGUGCUGCACUGACUCAGGACGAGCGAAUAAUGCUUCCAGAGCAAAAUUCCAGAUGAAAACGUAAAUAAAAAUGUUCGCGUAUUCAUUAUAUAUUUCAAAAAGUAUAAAAUAAAAUGGAAAAUCGAAGUAAAAUAAUCAA